UACCUUUAAUUGCAGCAUAAGUUAAUAAACAUUCCGUCUGCAAAAAAUUAGCGAUAGAUAUUUUUGCAAUGGAGUAGAGAAGUGUAUUGGCGGUUUGUCAGAAAAUAUCCAACAUUGCUGAUUUUGAAUUUUUUUUAAAAGGGUUGCCAAAAAGAACCGCAACAAGCACAUUCUUUUUAAAAAGUUCCCGACCGGUAUUUGAUUUUCCGGAAAAAGACAAUCUGCAAACCAUUUUCCUGAAAAUUCAUCUACAUCAACGCCACGAUCUAUAUUCUUAGACAAUGCUUCUUUAUUUUGAUAAUUCUUAGCAAUUAUUAGAUUCAACAUGCAACGUUUUGCAAGCUUGUUCAGUUGUAAUUAAAAUGCAAAACCUACAUACUGACGAUUAUUAUGUAAGAAUUAAUAUAGAAUUUACAGUAACUGACGGAUUAGAAAGUGGAAUGAAUGAGUGAAGCUGCAAAUAGCAAGACCUGAGUAGGGUUGACAAAUAUACCAAAGGUCCAAUGCUUAGCUAGUCAUUGCCAACUUUUCACUACCAUUCAAACUGAAUGUUCUCUUUAUUAGAGCACAAUUUUUUGCUAAGACAUAGUUACGAUCGUUGCAGCAAUAAGCUCCUCGAAAACAAUGGCAUUACAAUUGGUGUUAACGUAUCUACCACAUUGCAAAGCAUUUUCUAGAUUGUAUUAAAGUAAUGCCAUUUCUUAAAACCUUGCUGCUUUGAAAAUGUACUAUUUUAGCUCCCAAAUUUGAAUCUUCGGCACAGUCUCCAAAAAGUGCUGUUAAAAUGUGGAGUGUGUCAAAAUGCUUUCUCUAGCAUACAAACCUAAUCUUGAUGAAGUUUCCUGUUUUACCUGUCUGUCAUAAUGUUUUCAAUGCCGUACAGAAAGAGCUGUGCACGCUUUUUAUAUACAGAACAUGAUGGCUCUAAGUUGUAAAUUAAGUACUAACUUCGCUUUUCGGGCCUGAUGUGAUCUCCAGAGAACUAGCGAAAACCGAGUUUGAAUGAAAGGCUCAGCGCCUCUUAAAUUGAAACGUAUUUGGUGGAUUACAUUGGAAGUAAGACUUAGAAUGAAUUGUUGCAUCGUUAUACCUCAAGCCGUGGUGAUUAGAAUAAACGUUUGCAAGCUGUAAAUAUGAACAUGGCUUUGUUUAGCAACGGAUAGGGCUAGCUCUCUUGGUCUCAUUCAUGGUCGAGGCGAGACCCUGAAAGGAAGGGUUACGCUAUGACCAACAAUAAAAUAAACAGAAUGUUAAGAAAGAGAUAAAACCAAGCAUUGAGUGGACAUCCUACAACAAAGGGGAUUCUGUUCAUUUCCAGUGAAAAUCAUUUAUUAAUGGGUUGAUAUCGGAUAAGGAGAAAUUGAGAGAAAAAAGUACCUGUAACAGGUUGUCAAAUACAGAAUGCAAAUAUCAUCUUCUUGCUUUUUGGAUUAAGCGGUCUAUGCCAUAGGGGGUUUGCUAAGAAAGAUAGAGAAAUCAAAUCUAACACAGGCUUGAAAUCAAUGGACAAAUUGGCAGGGCACCAAUUAUUUAAAUAUCUAUUAAAAGUAGGCUCAAAGUAGCUAAAUUGCAUAUCUAGUGUCAUUUUGCGAAGUAAGUGGGAAUAUAUUAAUUACCCCUAUAAGGUCUUUGACAAUCAAAAGUUAAAUAAAUAGACUAAAAAUAUAAAAAUCGUUUCUAGAAAGUAAUUGUUUAUACGCAAAAUAAAAACUGCGCUAAAUUAAGGCAAAUUUUUGCGUGCGCUCAUUCCAAACUACGAUAGAUAGAAAAGGAGAAAAUUUUACAAUAGGUUGAUCCUUAGUGAAUUUGCGUAAUGUGAAUGAAUUAGUGAAGUUACAGUUCGGCAGAUCGCAUUUUAUGCAUCAUGCCAGAAUCUACUUAGUCUAUGUUCAUUCUUGAGUCAAUGUUCUUCAUACACUUUUCUUUCACGGAUGUAACAGGCUCUAGAUUGGUGUUUCUAAAUGUCAUUAAGCGCAAUUAUAGAACAAUCUACUAAGGCUUACGUACUGUUAGGAUCAACUGUAUGGGUUUAUACUGUGAUGUCGAAACCCCCGUUAUCAGAUCUCUAUAUCAAUUUGUUUUGGCAGGUUCAACUUUGUUAUCUUUGAAAUUGAAUAGUGUGUAUUUGAUGAUUUUAAAAUAACAAGCCUCAGAAUGAUAUUCGACGCUACAGUAAACUACUUGAUUUUUUCAUUUUGAAGAGCUUUUGCGAAAAACCAUAAUUUCGAUUAUUAAAAACAUUCUCAAUGGAGCAGUAUGAGUGAGAAAAGUCUGUUGAGUCGGCGGCUAAGAAGAUCGAUGACAAACUGGUCCUCCGGUCAAAGCAGCAAGGACCAGUCAACGGAUGGAACAAUAACGUUUCCAAAAAGCAAACGAUCGAAAACGAAACAGCGGUUCAGAAUUGUUGCUGCCAAGACAGGCCAACCCGAUGGGAUUUCAUUCGAGUGCAUCGAUAAAUCUGGGUUCUUUUUAAGGGCCAAAGGAAAGUCGCUAGCACCUGAAAGAGAUGGAUCUGACUCGUACUUCAAUAAAGAUAGCACAUUCGUUCCUUUGCCUGACAUGUGGUUCCCUGGGUUCUUUGCAUUUGAAUCAGUUGGAAAGCCAUCUUAUUUCGUUCGCUUGAAUCAGACGGAAGAGUUGAUCCUGGACCGCUACGAUGGAACAACGACUUUCAAAGAAGAUGCUAGUUUCAUGUUAAAGAAAAGACCAUGUGCAACAUGUUUGCAAGUUGGCGUGAAAGGAUGGGCAAAAAUGCCAGCUGGAGGAUACUGCCUUGGCAAAGUAAUCGCUGUCACUGACGUAAUCGAAGUGCUAGUUGACGAAGGCAAGGUGAUGAAGUAUGAGCGGGAAUCGCAAGGGUGUCUAAUUCCAGACGUGGUGCCGCAAGCGAGCGAACUUUCAGUCGGCGCACGAGUAAUCUCACAAUGGUACGAUAGAGAGUCUCUUUAUCCCGGGAUUAUCACUGGGAUAAGAUCGAAUGAAUACGAGGUGCAAUUCGACGAUGGUGACAAGGGUCGCUGCCGGUCUUACCAAAUUAGGCUGGUUAGGGAUCAUCUUUUUCAAGAACAUUCCUGCUCUGAAUCAUCUCACAAACACGCCACAAAACAAAACUCGGACGAUUCAAGCAUUGAAGGUGCCGAAAAAGCAGAGGAUCGCCUAUUAUCUUCAAUCAAACGACAACAAUUUUCAGAGUCUCGGCAUGGCAAACUUUGGUCACGUGAGUGCUCAGAGGCUGUCUCAAGUUCUAAUAAAGAGGAGGUUUGUAAACAAGAUAGUUCAUCGUCAACAGACACACAGCUAACAUUAAAGAGUCAUAGCGAGGCAUUGAAACUCAGACGAGACUUGCGAAUGACUGUGCAAAAUUUGAAGGUUUCCUCUUUAGAGACAGAGACAAUGAGCCAGGAUAGCGGUUACCAUGGUUACCUGAGGCAAAAGAGUUUAGAAAAGGAAUCCCAAAAACGAUUACUGGCAGCACUUCCUAAGUGGAAAACACAAGAAGAAGAAGCAGUGGAGCAAGUAUAAGGAUUCCCUUACGAUACUGAAAGAUAAUGGGUUUGACCAUUCAUCAGUCCUGGAAAAUACUGUCAAAGGACUUUUAUAUGGGCUCAAUUUUCUGUAAAUUGUUAGUAUUUAUUUGAAUACAUAGAUUAUAGUAUAAUUUAAUUGUAUAGGUUAUCAAAUUUGGCCAGUUCAGUAGUCAAAUGGAGUAUUUGAGCAAAAUUGCUCUAGGUUAUGCCAGCCAGUGAGAACUUUAAAUCUGGCUAGAAGGUUCAACAGAAUUUUACGUGAAUACUGUAAAUAAUUUUGAAUCUAUUGUAAAAAUUAUAUAAUGAGAGAAAAGAAAAAUAUCGAUAACAGCAGAAAGUUAGAAAUGUAAGACAAUGAUAAAGUUGUCAACACUAAAACUUACUAUGAAGGAAAUGUGGUUUUAGAAAUAGUCGUAAAAAUCAUAAGAAAUGACAAUUAAACAGCACUGCUAGAUAUUUUCAAAUGGCAGCCCCGGACGGGCACUCGUUGCUAUACAUCUGAGAAAAACUUUGCCGCUAUUUCCACAUAACAUUUUAACGAGCAAUUCUGUAUAGUUCAUGGGGCAACACGCACCCAGAUGGAUUACAUGAAUUGUACUUAGGCUACAUUAACACUGCUCCGUAUUCGUUUCGUUCCGUUUUCGUUGAAGAAAAUGCUGCCCGUUCACAGUUAUCCAAUAAAAAUGCUGUUGGUGGCCUCAUUUUUGAAAAGAGGCGUUCACGAAUCCUCAUCAAAUUGGUGUCAUUUUGAAUAAAAUCAAAUAAAAGCAAAUCGUGAAAACGUUGUUGUAACAGCUACCAGUCCAUUGUGAAUUCUCAAUUUCGAAAUUUGUGAGAUUUGGUGUGCUAGAAAGCACGUAUUUUGUUGCUGUUGUUAGCGUUUUCAAAUUUCUCCGUUUUUGGUGUUUACACUGUAAACGGAGCGUAUUCAAUAUGCGCCGUAUUCAAAAGAAUCCGUUUUCAUUAGCGUUUUCAAACGACUAUGUUUUCAUAGCAGAGCAGUGUGAACGCAAGGCAAAAACGGAUUAGUUUGACUCCGUUUUCAUUUGAAAACGGAGUAGUGUGAACGGGUCCUUUGACGAAUUGCUGUUUCUAGUAGCUACGGCUUAACUAAAGUCAACACUAGAAGUAUCAUUUGUAAAUGCUUAUUUGACAAAAUUACAAAAAUAUAGGUAGAUAUACUAAUUAAAUGAAAUAUGGUGUUGUGUUUUUUUGCCUAUCAGUUUACAAUUGGGUUCACUUCGUUUAUCACCAAGUUAUAGAUAUAGUUAAGGAAAGAGCCGUACACAGAAGUGAUGAGGUUUCUUCUCUCGCGAACCCACAUAUGUGACAACAUCUUCCAAAACUGCAUUUCCGAAAGCGAUGAUAAGACAAGUGAUUUUUGUGCAUUGUUUUGGAAAAUAGGACCGUAGCAAUAACGAUAAAGUCCAGGUAAGGAGUAGCAAGAGAUUGUCUCUAGGCAACGGGACCGGUCAAGCAUGUCUUACGUUCUACGCAUGAGCAAAGAUCAACGGGUGGUUAAAAUCUCGGCAAAACAUCGAAUUACUGAAAAAAUACUAUUAAAGUUGAUAAUUGGUUAAAUAUUUUGCAAAAAUUAAAGUUGCAAUACAUUUUACCAUGGAAGUUUGAAUCUCAAAAGCACAGCAAUAGAAAGGGGAAGAAAGCGUGAUAAAAUGAGGUUCGUAUUUAUAAUACUGAGUUUGUUGCUCGGUCUAGCCAUGGCUAGACAUCACAACACGAAGAAGCACCGGGCACAUGCCGAUGACGGAGCAACCAAAUGGCAUAAGAAGAGCCAUCGCAAGGGUAUGGAGAAGAUAAAGAAAUUCAAUAUUGAAGCAGCACCACAAAGUAUA